CAUAACCUCAUCUUGAAGUGACAGGAAAACAAGGUGUCUGACUUAUGCGAAUGUAAUAAUGUUAUAUACAUUUAAUUUAAGAACAAUAGUAAUCUUAAUUAUCAUCAACAAAGUUAUCAAUACCUGACGUUAUUAACUUUAGUUUUUCUAGAAUGAAUGUGUUUAUUUAUACAAAUACAAAUAGUUCUGUACAAUUUAUUAAAUAUUACUAGAAUGAAAUGGUAAAUACAAAGUUCGUAGAAACGAAUGUACAAAAGUAUGUAUAUAACAAACAUGAAAAUAAGCUUAAAACAAUAUUUUCAAAAAAAGAUAAAAAGAUAAAAUCGCGAAUUACUUUCGCUUCCUCGUUGUGACGUAUGCGAGCUAGGUCGAAAGAGAAAUAAUAGUAUAGGAGAAUCAAUUGAUCACGUUUGUCAUGUAAGUAAUUUUUAAGGUAAAAAGACAGUUUCGUGGUGAUUAAUCAUUCCCCUCGUAGCAGCUCGGCCUAUUUAAUAGCGUGUUCCAGUGGCCUGUCGCUCGGCCUUUUUUAUACCGGUUUCAAAGGCGGUCGAGUGUACUUGGUAUUUCGUAGCAAUGUGUCGUUACGAUGAUACCGUGCGAGAUUUUUGUCAGUAUCUUUCUUUUUUCUUUCCUUUCUUCUCUUCUUUUUUCUUGAAAACACGUACGAAUAUACGUAUGUCGUUUCGCAGUUUCCCAUUCGCGAUUGCAAGUUUUUGUCACAUUCAGUAUCAUCGUGCCCUAGUGUGGUUCGAGGUCUCACGCUUAAAAAUUGCUCUCGACCGAAAGUCUGAGUAUUCGAGCCAGUCAGGUAACAGGAAAAUAGAUGAUCGUUGAUGAAGUACAUGCUCGUACCGGCGUGUACGACAGACAGGAUUAUUAAGGUACUUAAGCUCAGACAACUAACUUGUAACUUGUAGUUUGCAUAAACGAAUAAAUGUAACUGACAAGUAAAAAGUUUCCCCUGGCUUGAGAAAAGCGUUUUAGUGGAUUUGAUUUUUCGCGAAACAUCUUUUCUGUUUGGAAAACUUCGGUAUUUUACGACGAAUUUCUCCUGCUUCAGAAGAUUCCGUCACUCGCGAAGAAUUUUUUCGUAUUACGAAAGAUUUUAUCUCUUGCAAAAAAUGUUUCCUCUCUCGAAGAGUUUGCUUUUUCGAGAAUCAGGUUUUUUCAGUUUGACCGUGUAAACUGCUUAUAAAAAAAAGCGGAUUAACGUAGCGAAGAGGACUAUUGCUGGAUCUGUAGCAGUUGGAAGUAACAGCUCGUAAUUUAUUUGCUUUUUAUUUAUCGGCCUGCUGUUCAUUGUUUUAGAGCAACAUCGAUUCACUUGUACCGAUAUUUAUUUUCAUUUCUCGUUUCGCUGGCCCAUUACACUCUGGACGUAGUUUACAGUUCCUAUAACGAAAGCACAUAAUUUACUUUUCUUUCAACGAGUGUAUAUCGUUUGAUCGUUGAAAUUUCGUCGGAAUUCAAACUAGAUAUCGGUCGGCAACAUAAACGCGUACAUAGUUACCGGCAAAUAGCUACAGGUGAAUUCGUAAUUAGCCUCGUUCUCUUUUCACGUUCAAUAGUGGUAGUUGAACUAUGACAGUUGUACAAUAUCGAGCGAACCGUUUGAACGUUACAGGUUACGAACUCGAUCGGUUUCAAUUUUUAUCUUAUCUUCGUGUUUUGAUUUUUAUCACGCGAUAAAGCGCGAGUACUCGUUGAACAUUGCUUUCGUUUCACCUCGAUUAGUGAGAAUGGUUUACGAUUAACGCGUUAUCGUAUAUUAAUUCCUUUUCAGCCAAAAUCUACUCUCCAUAAUACCAUCCUCUUUUUUUUAGUUCAACAAUGUCAACAAUGAUAGAUGGAAUUAUCUACCAUUGCACAACUAGAGAAGAUCGAAGUUUCCUUAUUUUCUUCCGCCAGUUUUGCGUCUUCCUUCGUUCGAUGUCGAAAUCUAACAUAAACAGGGACUGACGCUUCUCGCUCGCCACUGGAAUUGCAGCAUGGAAUAAUGCGUGGCAAAACUCGAUUUCAAACGACUUUCACGAAAGUAUCGGACUCUCUUAGCUUCCCAGAUAUUCGCAAAAAAAAAAUAAAAAAAGGUGUUUGGAAUUUGGAGUGGCCGUGUGAUAAUUACCGGGACGCUUUAUACGAACCAGAUUGCGAUCCUCGGGCAGGGCGACCGUCAAGAGUCUACGCACCCUAGUGCAGCCUCAUCAUAAACAGUGGGCCUAUUGUACAGUCCAGGUACUUUAGGAUCACACGGGAAAACCCAUAAAAACACAUAGGUCUUCAUUUUAUGGUACAUUGCAGGAAGACCGGGAACGCGGGUUUCGCCAAGUGCAAGGUCACCCGCGCGCGGUCCUUCAUCAUCCUCAAACAUACGUCUUUAUCCAAUUAUCAGUCAGGAACAGACUUGAGACACACCCACCACGAACUUUCCUCUACGACA